AGCUCUAUCAAUGAACACGAUGGACCAAGCCACAAACAGGAAAAAAUGGGUAUUAACUCGAAGUAUGGGCUUGCAAACGAAGAAAGUGCAAGCGAAAAGCUGUCAGGUGUGCAAGACGGCAUAAGACGGCACGAAAACGAUG